rnacentral:rRNA from 1 species
UACGUAGGGUGCGAGCGUUAAUCGGAAUUACUGGGCGUAAAGCGUGCGCAGGCGGUUUGUAAGCCAGAUGUGAAAUCCCCGGGCUUAACCUGGGAAUGGCAUUUGGGACUGCAAGGCUUGAGUUUGGCAGAGGAGACUGGAAUUCCGUGGUGUAGCAGUGAAAUGCGUAGAAUAUCAGGAGGAAUACCGAUGGACGAAGGCAGGUCGUCUGGGAGCAUAGAACUGGACG